rnacentral:rRNA from 1 species
GUGCCAGCCGCCGCGGUAAUACAGAGAGUGCAAACGUUGUUCGGAAUUACUGGGCUUGAAGCGCUCGUAGGCGGCAUCGUAAGUGUCGGGUGAAAUCCCACGGCUCACCCGUGGAACUGCCCGGCAUACUGCGGUGCUAGAGUGUGGUAGGGGAGAGCGGAACUCCUGGUGGAGCGGUGAAAUGCGUAGAUAUCAGGAGGAACACCGGUGGCGAAGGCGGCUCUCUGGUCCACAACUGACGCUGAGGAGCGAAAGCUAGGGGAGCAAACGGGAUUAGAUACCCUAGUAGUCC